UGGACGGACGCUCUGCGGGUAGUGCCACCCAUCCAUCCCCGACCCACCGUCCCUUAUAGACCUUGUUUUAUAACGGUCGACGCGACAGCAAAGAGAGAAACUGUCCUCAGUGAGGUUCGAAGCUGCGAUCUCCCGAUCGCAAGAAUGUUGACUGGACGGACGCUCUGCGGGUAGUGCCACCCAUCCAUCCCCGACCCACCGUCCCUUAUAGACCUUGUUUUAUAACGGUCGACGCGACAGCAAAGAGAGAAACUGUCCUCAGUGAGGUUCGAAGCUGCGAUCUCCCGAUCGCAAGAAUGUUGACUGGACGGACGCUCUGCGGGUAGUGCCACCCAUCCAUCCCCGACCCACCGUCCCUUAUAGACCUUGUUUUAUAAAGCCCUGGCGGGCGAGAGAAACGAGAGAAACUGUCCUCAGUGAGGUUCGAAGCUGCGAUCUCCCGAUCGCAAGAAUGUUGACUGGACGGACGCUCUGCGGGUAGUGCCACCCAUCCAUCCCCGACCCACCGUCCCUUAUAGACCUUGUUUUAUAACGGUCGACGCGACAGCAAAGAGAGAAACUGUCCGCAGUGAGGUUCGAAGCUGCGAUCUCCCGAUCGCAAGAAUGUUGACUGGACGGACGCUCUGCGGGUAGUGCCACCCAUCCAUCCCCGACCCACCGUCCCUUAUAGACCUUGUUUUAUAAAGCCCUGGCGGGCGAGAGAAACGAGAGAAACUGUCCUCAGUGAGGUUCGAAGCUGCGAUCUGCCGAUCGCAAGAAUGUUGACUGGACGGACGCUCUGCGGGUAGCGCCACCCAUCCAUCCCCGACCCACCGUCCCUUAUAGACCUUGUUUUAUAACGGUCGACGCGACAGCAA